rnacentral:rRNA from 1 species
GAGGGGGCAAGCGUUAUUCGGAAUUAUUGGGCGUAAAGGGCGCGUAGGCGGCUUUUCAAGUGACGGGUGAAAUCCCUCGGCUUAACCGAGGAACUGCCUGUCAGACUGGAAGGCUUGAGACCGGGAGAGGUGAGUGGAAUUCCCAGUGUAGCGGUGAAAUGCGUAGAUAUUGGGAGGAACACCAGUGGCGAAGGCGGCUCACUGGACCGGAACUGACGCUGAGGCGCGAAAGCGUGGGGAGCAAACAGGAUUAGAUACCCUGGUAGUCCACGCCGUAAACGAUGAGUGCUUGGUGUAGCGGGUAUCGACCCCUGCUGUGCCGAAGUCAACACAUUAAGCACUCCGCCUGGGGAGUACGGUCGCAAGACUG